rnacentral:rRNA from 1 species
GACGAACGCUGGCGGCGUGCUUAACACAUGCAAGUCGAACGGAAAGGCCCUGCUUUUGUGGGGUGCUCGAGUGGCGAACGGGUGAGUAACACGUGAGUAACCUGCCCUUGACUUUGGGAUAACUUCAGGAAACUGGGGCUAAUACCGGAUAGGAGCUCCUGCUGCAUGGUGGGGGUUGGAAAGUUUCGGCGGUUGGGGAUGGACUCGCGGCUUAUCAGCUUGUUGGUGGGGUAGUGGCUUACCAAGGCUUUGACGGGUAGCCGGCCUGAGAGGGUGACCGGCCACAUUGGGACUGAGAUACGGCGCAGACUCCUACGAGAGGCAGCAGUGGGGAAUAGUGCACAAUGGGCGGAAGCCGUAUGCAGCAACGCCGCGUGCGGGAUGACGGCCUUCGGGUUGUAAACCGCUUUCGCCUGUGACGAAGCGUGAGUGACGGUAAUGGAUAAAGAAGCACCGGCUAACUACGUG